rnacentral:lncRNA from 1 species
CCCCACAAGACGAGUUCUCUAAAAGAAAUGCUUCAAAAUAUGUACAUCCAGAGAUGAUAAAGUUCAAGCGGCUAGGUAUAUGUAGGACACCAUAUAGAAUAAGUAUAUCAAUGGCGUGAUGCGAAAUCAAGACAUCUAGUUUCCUGCUCCAGGACUGGGGACGGACUGCAAAAUUCGAUCGAUUUUGGACAGUUGGGGCGUGAUGAACCUUUUACCGAUGACUAUUGAUUGCGCAUCACGAACAGGGGGAAAAGAUGGUAUAAACUUGUCUUCCAAAGCAGGAUUUUCUUUCUUCUCCAGGCUCAGUAACUUUCUGGCUUCAAAAGACGGUGCAUGACAAAUCAAAAUGAGUAUGAAGAUGAAUGCCAUUGUGCUUAGACGAGCCAUAAUGAAAAACUUGCUACACAAAAAAAUAAAUCUGGG